UAAUCGUUAAAUUUCCUUGUAGGUUGCGUACAUAGAAAAAUAAACCUUGGGAUCAAAUCAUGAAGUCAAAAUACUCUCCAUACUGCAAUUUUUUUAUAUCUUCAGGAAAAGCAUAAUGGCUCUUCGUGAAUCUAGAAAGGGAUAGAAAUGGGUCUAGAAUAUAUUAGGAAAUUUCAGAAAUGGGAUUUUAUAUGUGGAACAAAAACUUUGGUCUGGAAUGAUAAGUGGGUUAAACGGCUAGACAUUCCUCCCACUCCUAAAUUUAUGUUGUGAACAUCUCAAGAGAUAGAUCUCAAGGAUUUGGUCCUCAACACCACAGCAUUCUUUCUUUCAGGGAACUUCAGGACCUGGUUAAUUUAAAAUUAGAAUUCAAAGGAAGAGUUCUCUCAUAUUCAGUGAAAACAACUAGGUUCUCAGACCAUAUAUCUCAGCAUUGAGAUCUCUCUCUCUCUCUCUCUCUAUCUCAAGUUUGGAAGUAACAGGGUGAUGGAUUGUAGAUCAGAUCUACAAGUUUCUUCUUUGGAAAUGUUACCAAGAUAAAUGGUAGAGACAAAAUUUCAAUCAAAAGCCAAUAGAAGUAUGUUCAGGUUAGCUUUAACA